UUUGAUAUAUUUAAUUUCUAAUUAAAUUAUACUACUUCAAUUUUUGUAGUGGUUUCCUUGGCAAUCUUCUUCUUUGACUUAUGGUAACUUGCUGAAGAAGAGAUCUGCUCUUGACACAUUUGUUGGUGUAAUAAAGCUGCAUAACAGAAACAAAGGAGAAAACGACAAACAAAAGUACAUGUUAGUAUUAGUUAAAUGUGGUAUAUAACGUUACUUAGUACAUAGUACACUUUUUC
rnacentral:lncRNA from 1 species